UAGGGAAUCUUCCACAAUGGGCGCAAGCCUGAUGGAGCAACACCGCGUGAGUGAAGAAGGGUUUCGGCUCGUAAAGCUCUGUUGUUAGAGAAGAACGUGCGUGAGAGCAACUGUUCACGCAGUGACGGUAUCUAGCCAGAAAGUCACGGCUAACUACGUGUCAG
rnacentral:rRNA from 1 species